AGAGAUGGUAGGUGCGGGUCUAUGGUGGUGUAGAGAUGGUAGGUGGUGGUGUAGAGAUGGUAGGUGGUGGUCUGUGGUGGUGUAGAGAUGGUCUGUGGUGGUGUAGAGAUGGUAGGUGGGGGUCUGUGGUGGUGCAGAGAUGGUAGGUAGUGGUCUGUUGUGGUGUAGAGAUGGUAGGUGGUGGUCUGUGGUGGUGUAGAGAUGGUAGAUGGUGGUGUAGAGAUGGUAGGUGGGGGUCUAUGGUGGUGUAGAGAUUGUAGAGGGUGGUGUAGAGAUGGUAGGUGGGGGUCUGUGGUGGUGUAGAGAUGGUAGGUGGUGGUGUAGAAAUGGUAGGUGGUGGUCUGUGGUGGUGUAGAGAUGGUAGGUGGUGGUUUAGAGAUGGUAGGUGGUGGUCUGUGGUGGUGUAGAGAUGGUAGGUGGGGGUCUGUGGUGGUGCAGAGAUGGUAGGUGGUGGUCUGUGGAUGUGUCGAGAUGGUAGGUGGUGGUCGGUGGUGGUGUAGAGAUGGUAGGUGGGGGUCUGUGGUGGUGUAGAGAUGGAAGGUGAUGGAGUAGAGAUGGUAGGUGGUGGUCUGUGGUGGUGUAGAGAUUUUAGGUGGUGGUCUGUGGUGGUG
rnacentral:lncRNA from 1 species